rnacentral:rRNA from 1 species
AUUGAACGCUGGCGGAAUGCUUUACACAUGCAAGUCGAACGGCAGCACGGGGGCAACCCUGGUGGCGAGUGGCGAACGGGUGAGUAAUACAUCGGAACGUGCCCGGUCGUGGGGGAUAACGUAGCGAAAGUGACGCUAAUACCGCAUACGAUCUGAGGAUGAAAGCGGGGGACCUUCGGGCCUCGGGCGAUUGGACCGUCCGAUGUCCGAUUAGGUAGUUGGUGGGGUAAAGGCCUACCAAGCCGACGAUCCGUAGCUGGUCUGAGAGGACGACCAGCCACACUGGGACUGAGACACGGUCCAGACUCCUACGGGAGGCAGCAGUGGGGAAUUUUGGACAAUGGGCGCAAGCCUGAUCCAGCCAUUCCGCGUGCAGGACGAAGGCCUUCGGGUUGUAAACUGCUUUUGUAUGGAACGAAAAGGCUCUGGCUAAUACCUGGGGCUCAUGACGGUACCGUAAGAAUAAGCACCGGCUAACUACGUG